rnacentral:rRNA from 1 species
GAGUUUGAUCCUGGCUCAGGAUGAACGCUAGCGGCAGGCCUAACACAUGCAAGUCGAACGGUAACAGAUCCAGCUUGCUAGAUGCUGACGAGUGGCGCACGGGUGCGUAACGCGUAUACAAUCUACCUUCAACUGAGGGAUAGCCCAGAGAAAUUUGGAUUAAUACCUCAUAGUAUUAAAAAAAGGCAUCUUUUUAUAAUUAAAACUCCGGUGGUUAAAGAUGAGUAUGCGUCCUAUUAGCUUGUUGGUAAGGUAAAAGCUUACCAAGGCUACGAUAGGUAGGGGGCCUGAVAGGUGAUCCCCCACACUGGUACUGAGACACGGACCAGACUCCUACGGGAGGCAGCAGUGAGGAAUAUUGCACAAUGGAGGAAACUCUGAUGCAGCCAUGCCGCGUGCAGGAUGAAUGCCCUAUGGGUUGUAAACUGCUUUUAUACAAGAAGAAACCUCGGUACGUGUACCGACUUGACGGUAUUGUAUGAAUAAGCACCGGCUAACUCCGUGCCAGCAGCCGCGGUAAUACGGAGGGUGCAAGCGUUAUCCGGAUUUAUUAGGUUUAAAGGGUCCGCAGCGGGAAUAUUAAGUCAGUGGUGAAAGCCUACAGCUCAACUGUAGAACUGCCAUUGAAACUGUUAUUCUUGAGUAUGGAUGAAGUGGGCGGAAUAUGUCAUGUAGCGGUGAAAUGCAUAGAUAUGACAUGGAACACCAAUUGCGAAGGCAGCUCACUAAACCAUUACUGACGCUCAUGGACGAAAGCGUGGGGAGCGAACAGGAUAGAUACCCUGGUAGUCCACGCCGUAAACGAUGAUUCACUAGAUGUUGGCGAUAUAAUGUCAGCGKUCMAGGGAA